UGAAGGGUCGUUCGAGACCAGGACGUUGAUAGGUCAGGUGUGUAAGCGCAGUAAUGCGUUCAGCUAACUGAUACUAAUUGCCCGUAAGGCUUGAUCCUAUAACA
rnacentral:rRNA from 2 species